rnacentral:tRNA from 1 species
GGGGCAUUAGCUCAGUGGUAGAGCUAUCGGCUGUUAACCGUUCGGUCGAAGGUUCGAGUCCUACCUGCGGAGCCA